UACGUAGGGUGCAGGCGUUAAUCGGAAUUACUGGGCGUAAAGCGUGCGCAGGCGGUCUAUUAAGACAGGUGUGAAAUCCCCGGGCUUAACCUGGGAACUGCGCUUGUAACUGAUAGGCUUGAGUGUGGCAGAGGGGGGUGGAAUUCCAGGUGUAGCAGUGAAAUGCGUAGAUAUCUGGAGGAACAUCAGUGGCGAAGGCGCUUCCUGGCCUAAGACUGACGCUGAGGUACGAAAGCGUGGGGAGCAAACAGG
rnacentral:rRNA from 1 species